UCGAUGAGUUGGCCACGUUGCUGCUAGUGCUAGACGCACGAACACACACACGUAAGCUAAGUCAUGCCUGAGACCAGCACUAUGGCCAGUUCAAGCCCAAUGAAUCCUAGUGGUGGCAGUGCAUCUAGAUAGGCCUACUCUACCAUGCUGUUUCAACACCUGUGGAUAAGGAGUUCCAUGAACAACAAACCCUUCCCUCUGUUUUAAUUAAAAUCAACCCUGUGGGAACUACCAACAGUAAAGAUGAAUUCUUUGAAGACAGUGACUCGAUUUCCUCUGGACUUCUUAUGAUGAAAGACGUC